CCUACGGGAGGCAGCAGUGGGGAAUAUUGGGCAAUGGGCGCAAGCCUGACCCAGCAACGCCGCGUGAAGGAAGAAGGCUUUCGGGUUGUAAACUUCUUUUCUCAGGGACGAAGCAAGUGAGGGUACCUGAGGAAUAAGCCACGGCUAACUACGUGCCAUCAGGCGCGGGAAUACGUAGGUCGCAAGCGUUAUCCGGAUUUACUGGGUGUAAAGGGCGUGUAGGCGGGAAAGCAAGUCAGAUGUGAAAACCAUGGGCUCAACCUGUGGCCAGCAUUUGAAACUGUUUUUCUUGAGUACUGGAGAGGCAGACGGAAUGCCUGGUGUAGCGGUGAAAUGCGUAGAUAUUAGGAGGAACACCAGUGGCGAAGGCGGUCUGCUGGACAGCAACUGACGCUGAGGCGCGAAAGCGUGGGGAGCGAACAGGAUUAGAUAUCCUUGUAGUC
rnacentral:rRNA from 1 species